GGUGGAUGCCCUGGCAGUCAGAGGCGAUGAAGGACGUGCUAAUCUGCGAUAAGCGCCGGUAAGGUGAUAUGAACCGUUAUAACCGGCGAUUUCCGAAUGGGGAAACCCAGUGUGAUUCGUCACACUAUCAUUAACUGAAUCCAUAGGUUAAUGAGGCGAACCGGGGGAACUGAAACAUCUAAGUACCCCGAGGAAAAGAAAUCAACCGAGAUUCCCCCAGUAGCGGCGAGCGAACGGGGAGGAGCCCAGAGCCUGAAUCAGCAUGUGUGUUAGUGGAAGCGUCUGGAAAGGCGCGCGAUACAGGGUGACAGCCCCGUACACAAAAGCGCAUGUGCUGUGAGCUCGAUGAGUAGGGCGGGACACGUGGUAUCCUGUCUGAAUAUGGGGGGACCAUCCUCCAAGGCUAAAUACUCCUGACUGACCGAUAGUGAACCAGUACCGUGAGGGAAAGGCGAAAAGAACCCCGGCGAGGGGAGUGAAAAAGAACCUGAAACCGUGU
rnacentral:rRNA from 1 species